AUGUUUCCAGCUCUGAUGAAGGCCUCUACAGCUGUGACAUCAGCGGUCAUGGAGUCUCCACCCAGCUGGAUCUCUGUCACAGCUUCACCCACUCCUCCUCCUCCUCCUCCUCCUCCUUCAUCGGCAUCCACCAGGUCCUCCUCCUCGUCCCCUCCUCUGUCUGUGCUGCUGUCUGUCCCCUCCAUGUCUGCUGUGGUGCUGCUGGUUGUCCUGGUUGUGCUGCUGAGACGAUGUGUCUGCAGGAAGCCUGACGGACUCGCAGUGUCGACUGAAGCAGAGGACGGUCCGGUUUCCUCAGCAGAACCAGACCAGACAGGAGACAGGGACCCAGCAGCACUUUACUCCAUCAGAAGAAGAACAGACGUCAUUUAUGGAGAAAUCAGCAUCAGGAGCAACACGAGGAGAGGUAACACACACACACACACACACACACACACACACUCUGUGACCACAACACUCUCUCUCUCUCUCUCUCUGUGUUCAGAGCUUCCAGCAGAUCCAGCAGUUGUGUACUCCACCCUGAAGCCCGCUCCUUCACAGCUGUGUGAGUCCUCCGAGGAGCCACAGAAACAAAGACACACACACAGCAUCAGAUGAGUGUGUGUUCAGCGCUCAGUGUGUUCAGUGUGUGUGUUCAGUGUGUGUGUUCAGUGUGUGUACAGUGUAACACCGUGUGCAGUCACUGCACCUGGAGGACGUCUGAACACCAUCUGUAUCUGUAACUGAACAUGUUUCAUGACAGGAACAAAUUUUAAAGUCAUAUUUCUCUCAGAACUGUGAGUCUGAAAAAUGUUUUUCUUUAAAUUUUUUUCAAGUCAAGUCAAAUCAAGUCAAAUUUAUUGUCUUAAAAUAUUUUUUAAAGUUGCUUGUAAUUCCUCAAAGAUUUCACAGUAAAUGUCAGGGUGGGUAGGGAGAGAACCAGCAG
ensembl:lncRNA